AGUGAACGCUGGCGGUAGGCCUAACACAUGCAAGUCGAACGGCAGCACAGUAAGAGCUUGCUCUUACGGGUGGCGAGUGGCGGACGGGUGAGGAAUACAUCGGAAUCUACUUUUUCGUGGGGGUUAACGUAGGGAAACUUACGCUAAUACCGCAUACGACCUACGGGUGAAAGCAGGGGAUCUUCGGACCUUUCGCGAUUGAAUGAGCCGAUGUCGGAUUAGCUAGUUGGCGGGGUAAAUGCCCACCAAGGCGACGGUCCGUAGCUGGUCUGAGAGGAUGGUCAGCCGCACUGGAACUGAGACACGGUCCAGACUCCUACGGGAGGCAGCAGUGGGGAAUAUUGGACAAUGGGCGCAAGCCUGAUCCAGCCAUACCGCGUGCGUGAAGAAGGCCUUCGGGUUGUAAAGCCCUUUUGUUGGGAAAGAAAAGCAGCAGGUUAAUACCCCGCUGUUCUGACGGUACCCAAAGAAUAAGCACCGGCUAACUUCGUG
rnacentral:rRNA from 1 species